rnacentral:rRNA from 1 species
AACGAACGCUGGCGGCAUGCCUAACACAUGCAAGUCGAGCGCCCGUAGCAAUACGGGAGCGGCGCACGGGUGAGUAACGCGUGGGAACCUGCCAAGAGGUUCGGGACAACCGCGGGAAACUGCGGCUGAUACCGGAUGAUACCUGAGGGUCAAAGAUUUAUCGCCUUUGGAGGGGCCCGCGUCGGAUUAGGUAGUUGGUGGGGUAACGGCCUACCAAGCCUAUGAUCCGUAACUGGUCUGAGAGGAUGACCAGUCACACUGGGACUGAGACACGGCCCAGACUCCUACGGGAGGCAGCAGUGGGGAGUAUUGGACAAUGGGGGGCAACCCUGAUCCAGCAAUGCCGCGUGGGUGAUGAAGGCCUUCGGGUUGUAAAGCCUUUCGGCGGGACGAUGAUGACGGUACCCGCAGAAGAAGCCCGGCUAACUUCGUGCCAGCAGCCGCGGUAAU